UAACGUUUUGAUGUAUUUUUUAAAAUAAAUUUGAGAUAUCAUUUUUAGGGCUGUUAAAAGAUUUAGAAUCGUCCAUCUUUCACUUUCAUCUAAACUCGGCUCUGAAGCAGAAGUUAGUUCCCGUGUUCUAGUGAUUUUUUUCUUUUCCAAUUAAGGUGUGUAGAUUAGUUAGUUAGUUGAUUUAACUACUUUUUGUUAAGGAAACUUUAUAACGGAAUAGUGGUAAAGUGAAAUGGCAUUUAUUAAUCUUAUUUUAUUAGUUACGUUGUCACGAUCCAGAUUUAUCCACGAGGAGCGAAAACUCUGCUUCGUGCGUGUUCGCCCCACUUAUAAAAAGCGUCCGAUAGACGCUUUUUCGUGGGAGCUAGAAGCUCUGAUUCAGAAACCCCCCAUUGUUCUGCACGCUGUGCACCGUUGGUCCGUGCCGGUCGCCAUUGCGGUAGUAAAACGGGAGUAGAGGUUUUUCCGACCUGCUGAGAUUUCGAAAGGAGGAGACAGUAGAGUUUCGGACCACGAGCCGACGCCCUAUCCUGCAACUUUAGUCCGACCCUCGACGCACGUAGACCCGGCCUCGCUACGCUACUGCUGAGCCAACCCGAACUCCCCUCAUCUGGUGACUCCGCCGGCCGUUGAACAUCGCAUGCAUCCGGCGUAUCCCUCGGCGACAAGUAACGUAACGCCUCGAGCUCCAGUAGCAUAAACCCUGCGCAGGUAUGUCGACAUACAUGGCCAUGUUACACACCACAACACACACACUGUACAUAUCACCCACCCGCAUGAAUCUUUCCGAAAAUAGAAAAUGAAUACAUAGAUGAAUUCAAGUUAA